rnacentral:rRNA from 1 species
UACGUAGGGGGCUAGCGUUGUCCGGAAUCAUUGGGCGUAAAGCGCGUGUAGGCGGUCCGGUAAGUCCGCUGUGAAAGUCGGGGGCUCAACCCUCGGAUGCCGGUGGAUACUGUCGGGCUUGAGUACGGAAGAGGCGAGUGGAAUUCCUGGUGUAGCGGUGAAAUGCGCAGAUAUCAGGAGGAACACCAAUUGCGAAGGCAGCUCGCUGGGACGUUACUGACGCUGAGACGCGAAAGCGUGGGGAG